rnacentral:rRNA from 1 species
UACGGAGGGUGCAAGCGUUGUCCGGAAUCACUGGGCGUAAAGGGCGCGUAGGCGGCCCGGUAAGUAGGGGGUGAAAUCCUGCGGCUUAACCGCAGGGCUGCCUUCUAAACUGUCGGGCUCGAGCACGGUAGAGGCAGAUGGAAUUCCCGGUGUAGCGGUGGAAUGCGUAGAGAUCGGGAAGAACAUCAGUGGCGAAGGCGGUCUGCUGGGCCGUUGCUGACGCUGAGGCGCGACAGCGUGGGGAGCGAACAGG